rnacentral:tRNA from 1 species
UCCCCGGUGGCUCAGACGGUAAAGAGUCUGUUUGCAGUGCAGGAGACCUGGGUUUGAUCCCCGGUUUGGGAA